rnacentral:rRNA from 1 species
CCUACGGGUGGCAGCAGUGGGGAAUAUUGCACAAUGGGGGAAACCCUGAUGCAGCGACGCCGCGUGAGUGAUGAAGUAUUUCGGUAUGUAAAGCUCUAUCAGCAGGGAAGAAAAUGCAGGUUCCUGACCAAGAAGCCCACGCUAAUUCCGUGUCAGCAGCCGCGGUCAUACGGCGGGGGCAAGCGUUAUCUGGUUUCAAUGGGAGUAAAGGGAGCGUAGACGGCAGAGCAUGACUAGAGUGAAAGCCCGCGGCCCAACGGGGGGACUGCUUUGGAAACUGCACGGCUAGAGUGCGGGAGAGGUAAGUGGAAUUCGAGGUGUAGGAGUGAAAUGCGUAGAUAUUAGGAGGAACACCAGUGGCGAAGGCGACUAUCGGGACAAUAACUGACGUUGAGGCGCGAAGGCGUGGGGAGCAAAAAGGAUUAGAUACCCGAGUAGUC